CUUGAAAACUCACAAGUUUAGAAGUAAAGCCGUU
rnacentral:sRNA from 1 species